AACGAACGCUGGCGGCAGGCUUAACACAUGCAAGUCGAACGCGUGCAGCAAUGCACGAGUGGCGCACGGGUGCGUAACGAGUGGAUAUCUGCCUUUGGGUUCGGAAUAACCCCGGGAAACUGGGGCUAAUACCGGAUGGUUCCUACGGGAUAAAGAUUUAUCGCCAAAAGAUGAGUCCGCGUCCGAUUAGCUAGUUGGUGAGGUAAUGGCUCACCAAGGCGACGAUCGGUAGCUGGUCUGAGAGGACGAUCAGCCACACUGGGACUGAGACACGGCCCAGACUCCUACGGGAGGCAGCAGUGGGGAAUAUUGGACGAUGGGGGCAACCCUGAUCCAGCCAUGCCGCGUGAGUGAUGAAGGCCUUCGGGUUGUAAAGCUCUUUUGGCGGGGACGAUGAUGACGGUACCCGCAGAAUAAGCCCCGGCUAACUUCGUG
rnacentral:rRNA from 1 species